AACGCUAGCUACAGGCUUAACACAUGCAAGUCGAGGGGUAGCAGGGUAGCAAUACCGCUGACGACCGGCGCACGGGUGAGUAACACGUAUCCAACCUACCAUUCACACGGGGAUAGGCUUUCGAAAGAAAGAUUAAUACCCGAUAGUAUGAUUGAAUCGCAUGAUUUGAUUAUUAAAGAAUUUUGGUGUUUGAUGGGGAUGCGUUCCAUUAGAUUGUUGGUGAGGUAACGGCUCACCAAGUCUUCGAUGGAUAGGGGUUCUGAGAGGAAGGUCCCCCACACUGGAACUGAGACACGGUCCAGACUCCUACGGGAGGCAGCAGUGAGGAAUAUUGGUCAAUGGGCGGUAGCCUGAACCAGCCAAGUAGCGUGAAGGACGAAGGCCCUAUGGGUCGUAAACUUCUUUUAUAGGGGAAUAAAGUCCGAUACGUGUAUCGGUUUGUAUGUACCCUACGAAUAAGGAUCGGCUAACUCCGUGCCAGCAGCCGCGGUAAUACGGAGGAUCCAAGCGUUAUCCGGAUUUAUUGGGUUUAAAGGGAGCGUAGGUGGGCGUAUAAGUCAGUUGUGAAAGUUUGCGGCUCAACCGUAAAAUUGCAGUUGAUACUGUAUGUCUUGAGUGUACAAGAGGUGGGCGGAAUUCGUGGCGUAGCGGUGAAAUGCUUAGAUAUCACGAAGAACUCCGAUUG
rnacentral:rRNA from 1 species